CUUUGCAAUGCUGUCAGGCCCAAGCACAUGUAGCUGGAUUCACCACUACAUCACUGCUGGAAAAAGGAAUUGGCUAACCUUUCAAUGCUACAAAUCCAAAAAUCAUACACCAGGCUUCCUCAAGCACAGAGAUGACCAGCACCUUCUGAAUCAGCUGAAGUCAGGACCAAAUGUAUGCAUUUCUAUCAACUCUCUAAUCUUAAGAGUUGUGUUAAAAUGAAAAUAAAAUGAAUGCUUAAUUCUUAUAACUAA